rnacentral:rRNA from 1 species
AAGCCUGAUGCAGCGACGCCGCGUGCGGGAUGAAGCCUUCGGGUUGUAAACCGCUUUCAGCAGGGACGAGGCGAAAGUGACGGUACCUGCAGAAGAAGCCCCGGCUAACUACGUGCCAGCAGCCGCGGUAAUACGUAGGGGGCAAGCGUUAUCCGGAUUCAUUGGGCGUAAAGCGCGCGUAGGCUGCCCAGUAGGUCGAGAGUUAAAUCCGGGGGCUCAACCCCCGUCCGCUCCCGAUACCGCUGGGAUUCGAGUCUGGUAGGGGAAGGUGGAAUUCCCAGUGUAGCGGUGGAAUGCGCAGAUAUUGGGAAGAACACCGGUGGCGAAGGCGGCCUUCUGGGCCAUGACUGACGCUGAGGCGCGAAAGCUAGGGGAGCGAACAGGAUUAGAUACCCUGGUAGUCCUAGCCGUAAACGAUGGGCACUAGGUGUGGGGAGGCUUUACUUUCCGUGCCGACGCUAACGCAUUAAGUGCCCCGCCUGGGGAGUACCGCCGCAAGGCUAAAACUCAAAGGAAUUGACGGGGGCCCGCACAAGCAGCGGAGCAUGUGGCUUAAUUCGAAGCAACGCGAAGAACCUUACCAGG